GAUGAACGCUGGCGGCGUGCCUAACACAUGCAAGUCGAGGGAACAGACGAGGAGCUUGCACCUCCGACGUUAGCGGCGGACGGUAGAGUAACACGUUGAUAACUAACCUAUACGACUGGGAUAACUUCGUGAAACCGGAGCUAAUACCGGAGUAUAUAUUCAACCAUAUUGUUGCAUAGUGAAAGACGGUUUUGUUUUCACUUAAAGAUGGAUCCGCGCCGCUUUAGCUAGUUGGAAAGGUAACGGCUUACCAACGCUACGAGGCGUAUCCGACCUGAGGGGGUGGUCGGCCCCCCUAGAACUGAGCCGCGGUACAGACUCCUCCGGGAGGCAGCGGAAGGGAGUGUUCCACAAUGGGCGGGAGGGUGACGGAGCCCAGCCACGUGAGUGAUGAGAAUCUUGCGAUAGUAAUACUCUGUUAUUAGUGAAGAGCAAAUGUGUAAAUAACGAUGCACGUCUUGACGGUACCUUAUCAGAAAGCCACGGCUAACUACGUG
rnacentral:rRNA from 1 species